ACAAUUCAAAAUUACUUCGAAAGAGAGGAGAGAGAAACUGAAGCACCAAAGUUUAACAAAAAUGGCGACAUCAAGAGUAGAUAUGAAGGGAUUAUACAAGCAGAAGAAGAAGGGAUUUGAUUGUUUGAUCGAUUAAUUGAUUGAUUCGAUUGUUUUGUUUUGCCGUAGUCCUCGUUGCAAGAUCAGGAUAGCAGAAAUGUGUACAGUUGCGUAGAUUUGUAUUUUGUCACUCAUUUUUCUGUUGAGGUUAUGCAAUAUCGAAUGGUCAUUGGUUGUAUUGCAGAUUUGCCGAACCAUUCCCAAAUUUCUGGAACCACCACUGAAUUAGGGAUGUCUAGCAUGCUUGUUUCUUGGAAUAUUAAGACUUAAGAGAAGGCCUUCUACUAUCGUUGCUCUGGUGCUUACUUUGAUAUAUUGUCAAACGAGGUCCAAGAGGUUCUUAGAUAUUCAAAGACUCAGAUAAACCAAGCAAGUGUAUGCUUGAAGACAGCGAUAUCAUUGACGAAGCAAAUGUCGAUGACAAAGUUCGUCGAAUCGGCAGAGGCCCAUUUUCGUUUGAAUAUUGAUCCUAAAUACAAUGACCAACAGCUAAGAGCAAAUGUGAGUUUACCCAAGGGAACUGGAACAAUUGUUAAGAUAGCCAUGCUUGCCCAAGGUAUGUGCUUCAACAAAUUGUUCGGGUUCAGUUGCUUAUCAAAUGUAUGGUGCAGGAAUGCAUUCUCUACUAAACUACUUCGCUUGGUACCUCUUAAGGUCUACGAUAACAAUGUUGAAGGAAAGAAGAUGUGUUAUACCAUUUAUGGGGAGUUUGAUUCACAAUUUUAAGAUAAGAGGCGUCCUGUUGAUUCAAGAAUUCCUUUUGAAUAUUGCUAUGAUAUGAGACCUGAUGCAAAUACCAGUUUAAUACUACUGUCAGUCUUUCUAUGCAAGGGGGUAGCCAUGUUAUGGUUGAUGAUCCUAUCAUUGUGAUUUCAACACAGAGUGAACUUGUAUAUUGUCUUGCUGUGGUCAAGAGUAAAGAGCUCAACAUUAUUGGACAAAACUUCAUGACUGGCUAUCGUAUAGUAUUUGACAGAGAGAAAUUAUUCUUGGACUGGGAGAAAUCUGACUUUUACGAUUUUCAGGUCCUAAACCCUUCUGUGGGAGGUAGUGACACCCUCGUCCCUCCUGCAGUUGCUGCGUAACCUGAUAAUAAAACAUUAGGUGUUAUGGGGAGCACAUCUCAUAGUUCAGCAGCAUCACCAACUUUCUCCUGCCAUUUUUGUGAACUAUCUAUUCCAAAACCUCGACGAGAUUGUGUUCUUGGACAUGGCGUGGUUAUUCAGCGUGACCUAGCUCCUCUUUCGGAUACCUUGAGGGGAAGGUAAAUGGAGCGGUACAGACUUGUAGAGGUGAGGAUGAAUGGGUGAUGUCUAAGACAUUCAGAAAUUAUUUCAAUAUCUCCCACCCUCUCAUAGCACAAAAUUCGAAUCCCGAUGAAUGUGUAUGGGCUUAGGUAGUCAUUGUGAUUAUUGUAAUUAUCGCUGGGGCUUUUAAGGUUUAUGUAUCAAAUUGGUCUCCUUUUGCUCCUAAUGGUUAUGGGGCAGUUUUUACUGGAGCAACUGUAGUAUUUUUUGCUUAUGCUGGAUUUGAUGCUGUUGCUAAUUCUGCGAAAGAGUCAAAGAACCCACAAAUAUGUACAAGUUUGAUAUCGUUGACUGAUCUUCCGUCAGAGGUGGAACAGUUUGCAGUUUGUCACCGGUGCUUCCUUCCUUCUUCCUGUAUACUCUGUUGGAAUAUAUAGUUUAGUAUAAGUUUGUUAGUUAGUUUUCUUAAUUUCAGUUAGUUUGUUAUUAGAUUAGUAGUUAUAAAUACAUGUAUUUGUACACUUUUCAAUACAUCAUCAGAAUAAUAGAAUUUCAAUAUUUUUCCUA